CGUAGGGCGGUGCGGGUGAGCUGCUGUCUGCGGCGGCCCUCAGAAAAGCCCGGUAUCUUAAGGAGAAACGAAUCCGUCCGUUGCUGUUGCUGCAGGCCCGCGUUUAUCCGUACCGCUUAGUCGGAAUGUCUGCAAUCUACUUCGCGUUUUUCUCUCGAGAUGUGUUUGCUGAGCAUGCAGUCCGGCUAGCACAGCAUUCCUUGGCUCCAGAUUUGGAUUUCCAAAAGUAGCAUAAACGUAGUAGUGGCUUUUCAAGCACAGUAAUUCGUUUCUUUAACGUAACUGACAGCAUUUACCUACUUCGGCCGCCAAGUGUAAACUAUAAUGCUUUUAAACUCGGUAUUUAUUUAGAAAACCUGUAGGAAUUAUAAACGGAGGAUUCAGAAAAUACGUUCCCUUUGUAUGCAGAGCUCUCCUCAUCCCUUAAAGAAGUUGUGGAGGAACGCAGUGCUGAGGGCUGUGCGAUGCAGAUACCCAGCGGAGCGCUCGACCUGCCGCUGUCAGCAGGGAACGGCCGCGCUCGGGUCGCGUGAAGCCCCUUCUGGAGGGCCGCAGCUGUAACCCAGCAGGAGUCAGGGCAGACACCUCCUGCAACGGUUCUGCUUUAGCCUGCGAUACAGAAGAACAGACACACAAGCUGAUCCUUUGGAAAGAUAAGAAUAGAUACUUUGGAUGCUGGGUCUGGUAAAUCUGCUGCUCUGGGUGGGUUCAAUGUGACUUUAUGGGCGCUUACAGAAGGUGCUGCUUAACUAAACAAACCAAUCCUGACGUGUGAGUAAGACCGCAAGGUAUCUGUUAGCAAUUAAUUCCUGCCGUCCCGAAAAGGCAGUGUGUGUUGUGACUUGGAUACAAGUCUCAUUUAUCAGUUCCCAGGUUAGCUACUUAUAAGUAGUGAUUCUCUCAAUUAAUUGGGUGUAUCUUACAAAGAUACUUGACUUACAAAUUGAAUCUCAGAAGGCUGUGGUUCCAGAGUCGGGGUUUUGGGGGCGAGAUGAGCUUAUGUUUUAUCCAACUGGCCCACAAAGUCCCGCUUUUGGUGGUCACUUUGUUCUGCAAAGGAAACCAAUGCGUUCUGGUCUUACAAUGGACACUAAACUUAGCACUAAGCUACUGCUGCACUCAGUAACGGGCUACUGCACACUUAAAUAUGCAACAAUAUUUCAACUUUAACGUCACCUUCAGCAGUAAAAUGUGGACAGGUAACACUAGCAUCCCCCAAAUUAAACAUGAAAUGGCUUUCUAAGCACUGUUGUAGCUUAUAAAAGGUCUCUGUUUUUUUCUCCAUAAAAACCUAGCAGAAGACAAAGUGAUGUUUCAAAGAGUAGUUGUUUGGCAUAAGUGAACUGGGAGAAAAGAAAAGAUAUUUCUAGCAAAGAGAGACAGCUUAAACCCGCAGAAAAUGGUCCAACCUGAAGGAACAUUUCUGUUGUCCCCUCCACAGUUCCUUUGCUGACAAACUAUGUCAGUUGCACGUCUCUCCCUCUCCAGACAGCCUGUUUCUUCAGUGCGUGCCCAGUGUGUGUGCGUGUGCAUGUGCGUGUGCAUGGUCUGUAUCUUUAAAUCAAUGUGAAGAUGACUAAUUUGUGUACUGAUAAAAGAUGUUAUAGCAUGCUGUGACGAGUAAGUCUGAGCUUGGUAAGGCUAUUCAAGUCUACGCUACUGCUUACAUUUUGAUACCAGCAGCCUAAAGGAUCUAAGCAUAAUUUGUACUUGUAGGUGACUUUUAAAUGAAAUUCUAGUAGGUGUUUAAAGGUUGUUAGUGGAUAAGUUGAGCUUUAUUGUGGCUCCAACUGUAGCACACGUAUAUUGAUGACAGAAUGAAGGACACUAUAAAUUGUACAGUGUGAGAGGCACUUCCAGCACUGACCUACUCAAACUGCGUCCAUGUGAGCACUUCAGACAAGCGUGGCAAUUCAGCUGAAGUUACGCAGCAGUGCAGGGUUAAAAAAAUAAGGUGUUGGUUUGGGACAUAUCAGGUGAUGAUAUGCAGGAUCUGUAUGUUGAAGCAAAUUGAUACUGUGCUGAAUUACUGAUAUUUUUCCAUGGAAUUCUGCUCUUUCACAUUGUAUAGCUAUAUAAUGGCUACACAUAGGAAAUAGGACAUAGCAAAACCUCCGUGCAACACAUUACUCGCUUGUUCAAGACUGAAAUCUGACUUGGGAGAGCUAAGGUCACCAUUGUGCUACUUGUAUGCUUUUUAGCUCCUGUCCUGCGUGGAGUAACACUGUUCCAGAGCAGCGUUUUUCAGAAGGUUAAGUUUUCAGGAACUGAUUAAGCUGUUGGUUUAUUUUUAUUUUGGAUUUAUAGUGCUUAGUUUGUGAGUACACUGCAGACGUGUCCAGUGUCACAAGUUGUGAGACUCAGGUUUGUUUGGCUCCUGUGGACUCACUGCCAGUAGUCCAAGAACAGAAGAGCAGAGAAUCAGGUACUGGAAAGCAGGCUGAUUGGAAGGUCUGGCUCUCAAGGAAACCUCUCAAGGAAACAAGAGAUCAGCUCUGCUCUGCUGCUCAUGGACUUUUUCCUCAAGGCUCUUCAAUUGAAGCAUGUCUUUUUGUACUGUUUCAGUGAGGCGUGCUUCACAUUUUGUUAAACAGCUAGAUUUGAUUUUUUUUUCCAGAUAGAUUCUAUCUCGUUCUCUACUGAUGAUAAAGAAAAUGCACAUGUACUCAUUCAAGUGCAAUUAACACAGUUAUAAAGUGUGUGUGACCAUAAGUGGCUACUGAGCACUCUUAAAGAUCAUAGCGAUAGUUCUGUAGGCUUUUCUCACCCAAAAUUGUUCAUCACCUUCUUUCCCAUCACUAAGCCUACAUAAUGAGCCCCUGUUUCUCUCGUGUGCAGUAAAAUGGACAGUUUCUACUGUGAUGGAUAUCACAUGUAGCUGUUAAGCUUUAAAUGUAUAUUUACCUUAUACGUGUUAACCAAAUUAAUCACAAUUAGAAAAAGCCUUGAUUGAUACCCUAAACAUUUAUCCUGCAAAAAUGUGAUCUUUGCUGUGGUGAUCUCCUCAGGGCUUCUGUGCAUGGUGGGGGUGGCCCCAGCACCACUGCUCCUGGAGCGUCCCGCAGUGCCCAGCAUCAGCAAUGGGACAGCCAGGAUCCAUUUGUUUGAAAAGCAAGACGGAAUUUAGGGAAGAUGAAAAGAAGGCAGUAUAUUCGGAAUCAAAAUUCAUUUUUCUCGAGAUAAAAAGUGUCACAAAGUAUCGAAAAGAUAGUAUUUAGAAAGAUCAACUCCAAUUAUUUAUCACAUUCAUCAUUUAUAAAAUUGAAAGCCCUACUAGUUGUUUUCUAUGUAAAAUAAAUUAAAACUUCAUUUUUAGAAUGACUUUUCAGCAUUUUGAAGCAAAGCUUUAAAAAACAGCUUAUGCACAGUGAAGCAGGAGAGGGUUAUCCGGUGUCUGUCUGCUCACUUUAGAAAUAUGUGGACACAUUACUGGAAGCAGCGAGAUCAGAACCGGGUGGUAUGGCUUGAGGAUUGCUCUGUGGCCUGAGUUCUGAAGCAGGGCCUCAGCAUCUGACAUGCCCUGACCACAAGUUACCACAAGAGUUUUGUGACUGCCCUCCAAUACGGCCAUUGGGAAGGAGAGGGUGGCAGUGACCAGAGUUUGGGAACUCGGGACCUGGCUCCAAGCUGUACCGUAGUACAGGUUGUGAGGUCAGUCAUCCCCCUCUGUGAGGCUGUCUGGAGUUCUUCCAGGGCAGGAAUGCGGGCAGCCGUGGUGUGUUGUGCUGGCUUGCUCUUCCCUCGCAAUUCUAACUGUACGCAUCAGCACUGCUCGCCUGCACAAGGCCUGCUCCACACACCGAAAGAAAAUCUGUUCACAUGCAUCUCACAGAGGUAUCAUCACCUUUUUUUGUCUUGAAAAUUGUAUUUGCUGGUUAUGAAAGAAAAAAAACAGUCACAUUUAAAACAUUUUUUAAAAUAUUAGAGGAAAAACUGCUCUGAUGUGGAAGCUGCACCUGUGGUGGAAGAAGUGGAAUAAAAGCGGUUCUAUUCGACGUAUAAAGCUGCUUCAGAACGUGCAGCUUAAGAGUACAGCAUUCUGGUGAAAUGGAGGACUUUAAGUGAGUUUAAGUCACCGCUUGCCCUGUUCUCAGUGCAAAUAACUAAAUAACUCUUUGCAAGGUAAUAUGCUUUUUUCCUCAAGUGAUGCAAACAUUUGGGGAAUUUGGUAAAUGCACAGGCAUUGAAAAAAGAACAGAGAAUUGACUUUUCUGCCUUUGUCAGAGUGUGCCAGCAGUUCUGCCGUGGGGCCGGGCCGGUCCUGUCGGUGGCUGCUGGGUGCACAUCUUUACUGGUAAUCAUUUUAAUAGAUUCAUGGCCUUUCCUUACAAGCUGACAUAAUGCAGGAGCAAGAGAUCCAUGUCUGAAAGUGACAGUUUUGUAGGCCGGGAGAAAUAAAGAAAGACAAAAUGUGUUCUGUCAUCUACGACAGGACACGUGUACACGCUUUUUGGAAAGGCUGAGAAAAGGCACUGCAGGAUGUUCCGGGAUCAGUAAUAGAAUGCAGUGAUUUUACUGCUGGGAUAUUUCUAUUUGUUAUCUAUAAAUUCUGUUGGAAACAUCAGUCUGUAGAGUCAUCAGAACCUAAGUUUUUACUUUGUUGUUGCUGCUGUCCAUAUAAAAGUUUUCUUUUGCAACAAAAGGCCUCCUUGAAAGCAGGCAAGGCCUGGCAGCUGGCACAUGGGUGCUGCUGGAAGCCACCGGAGCUGCAUCAACACCAAAUUCAGGCAAGAUCACAGUAAUGUUUCUGGAACAUGGGUACAGGAACAAAGACCGAAUGGAUUACAUAGCAUGGCAUAUUAAAUAACAUAUAAGCAAUUGGUUACUGUUUUUUUUUUGUUUGUUUGUUUGUUUGUUUUCCCCAACAAUAUUGUAUUCUAUAUAUUAUGCUCCACAGAUCCAUUGAAGAAUAUGCCCACUAAGUGGUAGUUAGUGUGUAGUAGUGGUAGUAGUUAAUUACUUUAAAAGAGACUUUUCAUUAGGCUUGUUGAUUUGAAUAGGCAUAACAGUUCCAGUGUGCUGCUUUGCUAUGGAGAUUUGUAAAUAUGCAAUAUGCAGUCUUAACCAAAGGGGGAUUCCUCUAUUUGUUUGUACUCUGAGCAGACUUUCUCUAUGUAUGGGAAAUUGCUCACAUGACUACACAUAAAAUAUAUUGAAAUGCUGUAAAACAAAACGUAACAGUUGUAUGACUUUAUUAUGUACUCCCUUUUCCUACAAACCUAACUUUGCACCGUCACUUGAAGCAAAUCCUUAGAAAACAGAGAUGCAGGUCAACUAUUCCUGUUGAUCAUUCUGCUUUGUUUUGAAAUCCUGGAUAGGUGAAAGAACAAAAAUUGCCCUACAAUUCUGUGUAGUUCCUCCUCCUAGCUUUCCAGUACUAACAGUGUUUUCAAGGGAACUUUGUCAGAAUUCACUUUGGUGGAUGGACAGAACCGAUUAAUGCAGCCCAGGUGUGUGAGCUAGCGAUUGUUUGGAAAACUACUGUUUUCCUAUGGACUGGGCUCAGGAAAUGCUGAAAUCCUGAAGUAUUGUUGGAAAAGUGUUUUAACAAAAAAAAAAAAUUGCUUUAUAGUUUCAUUCUCAAUGUUCCACAGAAUUCACCACUUCCUGCAUGGCUCUUUACCGCAGGGAAAAUGAGGGACUUUUGGGGGCAGAUGUGUUUCCAUUACACUAUCAUAAUGCCCCUAAAAAUCCUUAUUGCUCUUGCAGUAUUCUUCUGUGUUGCUGGGCCUGGUGUGAGCUACUUGAAGACCUAGCUUCUAAGUACAGCUUCUCUCUAAAAACACUUUCAAAGAGCAACUGAUUUUCUUUUAUUUACCUUAUUUUUGGUUGCGUUUAAUGUUGCUUAAAAUGUAAUUGCAAGAUAUGCCACCACCUGUUGAUAAACGAAUGUCAUUAAGUCAUAAAUGGGAGGGACAUGCUGAUAACUGCACGGUACCUAGCAAAAGGAACAUAUUUUGGCAUAAGGGUGAGUUGCACUCUGCUGGUGCAAUGAGCGUGUUUUUAACUUAAGAAUUCAGUAUGUGUGUCUAAAAAUGUGACACAGAUUUUUCACAGAUUUGAAUGACUUUGUUAUAGUGGACCUCACUCAGAAUGUUAACUGCUUUUAGGACCAUACUUCAGGCUUUUAAUCAAAUUAAAAGAUCUGCCCAGUAUUUUUAGUUAGAUUAAAGGCAUGCACACUCCAAUAUUCAAAUCACAUCCCCACACAGUCCCCAAAUAAAGAAAUUGAAGAUGAAACCUAGAAGAGACACUGUGAGUGCUCAGCGACAGUGUACUUUUUGCUCAGGAGGUGUUUGUGUGGGCAGGAGGAAGGGAUGCUGCUGGCCCUGCUGGGCGAUGCUGAGUCCACACUCCUCCUCAGGCACAGUUUAUUCCUGGUAGGCAGCAGAGUACUCAAAUUCUGCAAUUUUCCAGUUUUCUUGAUGGAAAGGCAGAACACAUAAAUGUAAAUACCGUGUUUUUGUCUGGGCAUUGCAGCACAGUAUAUCAUCACUUCACAUGUGCAGUGCUAGUAGCAUUUAUUUCAGUAGCCACAUGUAGGGCUGGGUUGUGUAAAACGUAUUCUUGACUUCACUAACUAGCUUAGAAGAAAUAAUGAAUAUACUGCAUCACUUUGUCCCUUUCUCAGUGCCAAAUAUCUUCAAAGAGCCUUUAGAAUACUUGGUAAUGUAGGAAAGAAACUAGAUUCACACACCUCUCCCCCAUUUUAUACUGUUCUAACCCCAAGGAAUUUUUCUUCUUCGUUUUCCUGAAGAAGUGUUUCUCAUUUUUUCAGCGGGAAAAUCUUACAGGUUAAGUCAUAUCCUGUAGGUCACAAGGGGAGCUAGCUGUUAUGACCAGAACCCCAAACCCUUGAUGCCCAGGUAGAUGCUGCAAUAAGAAAACCACUGUCUUGAAGGACUGAAUGAGCUGUGUUGCACAGUAUUGUGCUCACAGGUCAAAACAUGCUUACAUAUCCAUUCCAACGUGGAAAAGCAUUUCAGUAGCGUGUCCAGGCAGAAAGCAGUAGAAAAGCUAGACAUUGCAUUAAUUCUAAAUGUUCCUAUCACUACCUCUGUGUUUCUAUUUGGCUUGUUGAUUACAAAGUGAUUCCUGGCACCUUCUAACGUGAGUGAAAGGUGCUGGCUUGAGGCUUAUGCAGCUCUGAAAAUGACCAAAAGCACUUAUAAAGUAUUAGAUAACUAAAUUAUUAAUAUUAUGAAUAAAGGGGUUUGUUCAGUAAACUUUUAAUUUCCAAGUAAUGCUCCAAAAGACUCUGUGGCUGAUGUGUUAAAAACGUGUGAGACUGCACAGAUUCUGUCAUGUUCUGCAGUAUUAAAGAUCUGCAGAGGGAUUACUCCCAGAGCUACAAUUUUUAUCACCUUUAUAUAAAACAGACUUAAUGGGAAAAGACUGGGAUUCUAAUUAUUUUUUAAGAGUCUUCUGGGGAACUGUGCUUGUGACAAUACUAUAUAAAGAGCAGUGCAAUAGUUUUGAGCAUUAAAGCUGAUCUGAUUUUACAUUUGUUCUAUGUUAUUUUCUCAUGUGACACAUAAACUUUUAAGAAUAUCAGAAAAAAUGUGUUUUUUAACAGAAGCCAUUUUUCAUACAACUGUUUGGAGAUGCAGCCUGUAGAUUUCAACAGCUGAUUCUUACAUACACACAUACUUAGAGUCAGAGUCUUUAGACUGUAGCAAAAUUAGGAUUUUCCCUGAAAUGUGCAUAUGUAAAAUGUGUUUAUCACAUUACAUCGCUGUCAAGAAAAAUAUUUCUUCAGAGCUAGCAGUCCUGAGAAUAAAUUUAAGGAGGGGAAUCAAGAUACAGUGCAGUGCACUGCUGCACCUGCAUCGCAGAAGAGCUGCUCAGGAGAGCUAAGGUAUGUCAUGUAGGCACUUCCACAUCCCAGGGAGGUGCCAAGGGCCUUCGGUGGGAUGAGGCAAGGUGAGCUACUGCAUGCACUUUGCUAGGCACAGUGAGGAGUUGCAGCCAGCAGCUCCCUGCAGAACGCUGAUUCCUGUCAUUUGGGGCAGCGGCUCAGGGCAAGUCCGCUCUGGCUUUAACCACAAUAUCUUCCCAUACCAGCUUUAUCCCUAUCUCCUCCUUUGCUGAUUAUCCUGUUAAUAAACAGAAACUUCCAAGAAUUAAAAAAAAAAAAAAAAAAAAAAAACAUAAGGUUGCUGUUUCAAGGCACUCCUGCCAGAAAGAAGACAGCCACAGCUGCAAUUUACUGAUAACGUACCUUGUGCUAACAUCCCACUAUGGCAUGCAUGCGUGAAAAAGCUACACCAAUUAGUGAAUUCAAGUCUCUUGAUUUUCUCCAAAAGCAGGACACUCAGUACAGUGUCCUGAAACACAGAUGCUCAUACAGUGCAGGGGGGAAUGAAUGCCUGCCCUUGCUGGGGCUGUGCAAUGCUUUGGCACUGCAGCAAGUGCUCUGUGAACGUGGUGGGGGCUGGAGGGCACCAGUCCAGUGUUACCGUUGUUUGGUGGGUCUGGUUAUGUUGAUUUUUUAUCAGAAGUGACCUGCAAGCAGGCAAGAAAUGGAGAGCUGCUGCACUGUGUUUCUGCUUGCCUAUAUCCCUAAGAAAACGUCCCUGGUCAGUGUUAAUUCUGCACCAUAUGUAACAAUACCUGUAACAGCAAGUUUAUCUUAUCUUAAAAGUUAACUUUUCAAGUGCAGCGUAAUAGUGGAUAGCAUUAUCAUUUACGUGUAUCCCAAGGACAUAUUCUCACUUCUUUUUAUCAAUAUCACAGCAAAGAGGAAAGAGUACUUUCCUGUUUCACCUAUGAAACACUGAACAACACUUCUGUUUUUCACACCAGCACAUCUAAAUGCAGUAGGGGAUUGGGACUUUGUUUUGUCAUUCUGCAGAAUGCUGACGUAUGUGUUUGGCAUUCAGGUGUUAGAAAAACUGGAAAGAACAAAGGAUAAUUUGCAUGUCUUUUGGAUUUUUUUUUUCUUCAAGCUGUAGCUAUUCAUUAGCAAUCUUUAGCAUUGGAGUUUAGAAAAUGUUGUGCUUACUCAUAUAAAAAAAGACAUAGGAAUGAAAAACAGAACAGCACAAACUGGAGUCCUGUUAGGCUGCAGGCCACUGCCAGGGUCUUUCUGCAGGAGCUUUCUGUUCUGCUGAUUGCUUUGAGUGGGGCAAAAAGAUAAACAUUUUCUUGUGGCAAAUGCUGCCACACGUGACAAGUUGAUAUGCAGUAUCAAGAGUUGUACCAGGGGCUUAUUAGUUCACUCGAAUAAGACGGAAAUGCGAGGAAAAGUUUUGUGCAGCUGAAAAAUGAAAAAUAAUUCGUCAGUGCCCAAAUUGAUCUGCUGAAAAAAGACAUUUUUUGGCCUCAGUAACCAGAGCUUUCACUGCUAUGGACACUUUAUCUGUUGUCCUCAAUGAAUCGGCCUCCUUUGUACACACUACACCACUAUGGCUGUGGUAUGUGUUUUCGGCUGGUGCAGAUAGAGGAAUAUAAAUUCUAUACUGAUACGCAUAAGCAACUAUGCUACGCACAGGAUACAGUAAGCAGAAUUUGACUAGUCACUUCAUUAGAUGAAAAAUAAGCAUUUUCUGCUGUUUGUGCAGUGUCCACUUUGCGGACACUGGGGCCAUGUUUCCAUGUUUUUGCCUUUUCUAUUGAAAAUUAGGUACCGUAUUUGGAUAUGGCACAGAAGAGGUGCGUUCUGCUGCACACCUCUGUCCCGUGCUCCCUAAGUCCUUUCCUGACUGUUUUUGUUACACGGGUAUACACACCUUGAAACAGACUGUGUUUGUAUUGACAUUGUCACUAACUCUGUAUUUGAACUAAAAUUAGCAAAAAAUAUGUGAUUAGAGAUCCUGCCAUAUAUAUACAUACAUAUAUUCCCUUACAUUCUCAUAAUGGUACACAGCAUGAUAGAACAAGGAGAAACAAAGAGAGAAUGCACAGAGAUUCAUUUUGCGCUGGGCUGUUGGCAGAAAUCUGAGAAACUGUGGCUGUCCUGGCAGCAUCCCAUCCUUCUUUCACCAAGGGGGGCAAAAGGAGUGUCCAGGAUGCAUCUCUAAAGGUCUGCUUCCACUUCUCACCAAGGCAUGGUGCACUGCUGAAACUGAAGGAAAAUUUUUAAAGAUUUAGCCUGUAAUUUCUGAAACUGUUUAAAGUAACGUUGUAUGGAAACUGACUUUCUUAAUGCAAUUUGUCUACUUUUUCUCCAAACAUCACAGAAGAGAAUUAAAAUUUAAAUGCACUGAUAUGUUUUACAGAAGAUCAAACAUUACUGUUAUUUGAGUAGUUUCUAGGAGCAGUGAUGGAAACUGCUUUAUGUACUGCAAUGAUUUAUACUUUUUUGUUGUACAAUUUGUUUAAUUCCCACUGCAACUCAACAGGAUUACAAAGGCAUGUAUGAAUAAACAUGAAUUUGAGAUGUUGCAACUGAGUGCAGGAACAUAACGAUGGUAAUUUUUCCCUGAAGAAAUCAGAUCAGAAGCUUUAAAUGUACAUUUUCCUCAACAGAACAGUUGGAUGUUAUCAAAAUUACUACUGUGCCUACAUGUGUCCCUUGCAGCAUCAUUCCCUCAUCACUGAUUUGCCAGCACAGCACUACCCAGAAAGGAGUUUGCUGUUACCUGCCUAUGCAGUCCCCACAAAAGCUGCUGCUGAAAAUUCUCUCCGUACCUAUCAGAUGUUUCUGCACUGUGAAUGCUAAGGAAAUGCUAAGUAAUUUGACUGCAUGAUUUUUAAAGAAACCAACAGAAAAAUCAGAUUUACACAAUGAUUACAGUUCUGCUUGCUAAUAUUGAUCCUCCCUUUAAGGGAAAUUAAUGCAAAACAAGACUGGAGUUAUAAUGCACCAAUAAUGUUUUGCUUGUCUCAAAAAGUAAUGAUAGCUAGUGCUUUUGUAUCUUCUAUUUCCUUAUGAUCUAUUAAAUAUAAGUAGUUAAAACCCUAAAAUAAGAAUAAAGAGAGAUGACAGAGGUGGCAAGGCACCUAGAUGUGGAUCUAAAUAUAACCAAGGUUGUUUAUAUCAGUGAGCUCUGCCAAAGGAUAUGCGUUUAUGCAACUUUCUUGGUCGGGGAGUCAGUUUGCAAUGCUCCCAUGUGUUGUAUCCUUUAUUGCUCAUAUUUCAAAGGUAAUUUUUGCAAGAUUCUAAACAAAUAAAUAAAAAGCUAAAUUAUUAUCUCAGUUGUAGAAAUGGAGAAACUAUAAUAUUGAAGUUGACUGACUCUGUCAAGUAAAUGUUUAUUAUUAGAAAUAGGAUUCGAUUUCAUGUCAUCACUCCAAAUCUCACACUUCUUGCACUGGUGACCUACCAUAAAGAAAUACACGUUAAUGCAAUCAUUUUGAAGAGAUCGAUACCCAGGGAGGAGCUGUUUCCUGAAUUACCAGGUGAACGACUAAACAUUUCCUAAGGAUCACCCAAGACACUGAAGACAAAAUAUCUAUCGUUUUUUGUUACAGUUCAUAUUUCUGCUGCUUCUCAGACACGCUGUGAUUCAUCUCUGAGGAACACUUCACAUACUGUAGUUUAUUUUUCUAUCACGACACUCACAAUUUGCCAAAACUGCCAUUUCCCUUAUGCUGUUUGAGCAUUGCUAGCUCUGCAAUCAAAUGUAUACUGUCUGUUUCCAUCCCUGCUCUCUGUCUCAAUUAUUAUUUUUGUGAAGAUAAGAAAAUCCCAUUUUUACCAGUGGAGAGCCAGGCUGCUUAGGUCACAAGAUUCUCUUGGCUUAAUCCUUGAGUAUGAAUCACGAACUUUCCCUAAGAAGUACUGGCAUUCUUCAGAUGAUCAAGCCAGCUUACUAAGGCUUCCAGAGCUUUCCGCAUUAGCGAUCACCAUGUUUAAAGUAUCAAAAGCAGUAGCUGAUUAAGAAUUAAACUGUUUAUUCUUACUUUUCCCAUUUCCUCUGUUUCUAACUCUUAUGUGGCUUGGUACUGUAAACAGCUGUAAUGCAACUCAGUUAAAAGAAGUAAUAUGAAAAUAUGAAAGCUAUGAUGAAAGAGAUAUAUCAGACAAAAAUAUUUGUGUGAAAUACAAGAAACAGAGUUACAUUUUCUGCAGUACAUGGCUCAAAAAUAAUCUGCAUAUGUACACAUGGCUCCAGUUAACAAAAAGCAUUUUUCUCACAUUUAAUAUCAGAAAUGUUGGAGGUAGCCAAACAUCUAUUCUGCAGAUGAUUUACAACCCUUGCAGAAAAAAAAAACGUGCACUAUUGAGACAUCAUAGUAAAUGUCAUAUAAUUCAAUAAGCGUUAUGUGAAGAAAUAGAUAAAAUGAAGAUACACCCAAAAAAUAUUUCUUGAGAUAUGAAGGUGGAAACAGAAUAUUCAUUCCAGAUGCAGAACACAGAAAAUUGCUGAGAUAGGACUGGACUCUAGUAAGCAUGUAGCCCUGGAAACAUGAGGGUCCUGGGCAAUUCAGGACAGGUGUUAUAUUCCUGCACCACAUUCAAGUAUGAGAUCUGACAAAAGUAGACUGUUCACUUUGGCUACCAAUGAGAUUUUUCUAACUUUUACCAGGAAUAGUACUUCUUCAUAAAUGUGGAGUAAACUAUUUGAACAACAAUUCUUUCUUGUAUUAUUUCCAGAUUUGGUGAAAAACAUUAUAACAACUAAUGAAUACAUUAUACAGUCAUGCAAACUUCAAACUGA
ensembl:lncRNA